AGGGUUUGAUCAUGGCUCAGAAUGAACGCUGGCGGCGUGCUUUACACAUGCAAGUCGAGCGAGGCCACCCGCAAGGGUGAGUCGAGCGGCGAACGGGUGAGUAACGCGUGGAUGACCUGCCCUUGAGUGGGGAAUAACCCGGGGAAACUCGGGCUAAUACCGCAUACGACCGAGAGGUGAAAGGGGGCUCGCAAGGGCUCUCGUUCGAGGAGGGGUCCGCGUUCGAUUAGCUAGUUGGUAGGGUAAUGGCCUACCAAGGCGACGAUCGAUAGCCGGCCUGAGAGGGUGAUCGGCCACACUGGAACUGAGACACGGUCCAGACUCCUACGGGAGGCAGCAGUGGGGAAUUUUGCGCAAUGGGCGAGAGCCUGACGCAGCAACGCCGCGUGGAGGAUGAAGGUCUUUGGAUUGUAAACUCCUGUCAGCGGGGAAAAAGGGAUUCGGGUUAAUACCCCGGAGACUUGAUUGUACCCGCAGAGGAAGCCCCGGCUAACUCUGUGCCAGCAGCCGCGGUAAUACAGAGGGGGCGAGCGUUAUUCGGAAUUAUUGGGCGUAAAGGGCGCGUAGGCGGCCUAUCAAGUGACGGGUGAAAUCCCUCGGCUUAACCGAGGAACUGCCUGUCAGACUGGAAGGCUUGAGACCGGGAGAGGUGAGUGGAAUUCCCAGUGUAGCGGUGAAAUGCGUAGAUAUUGGGAGGAACACCAGUGGCGAAGGCGGCUCACUGGACCGGUACUGACGCUGAGGCGCGAAAGCGUGGGGAGCAAACAGGAUUAGAUACCCUGGUAGUCCACGCCGUAAACGAUGAGUGCUUGGUGUAGCGGGUAUCGGCCCCUGCUGU
rnacentral:rRNA from 1 species